CUAACAAAAGAUGUUUUGGACUGAGGACAUUCCAUGCGAGGGAGGAAUGAAGCAGAUACUUUAAACAUUAGCUGACGGGUGUGUUAGUUAAUUACUGAAACUAUUGUAUUUCUAAGUUACAGGUCCAGCGGUAGUUUCGAUUUGCAGAUCGAGGAUCUGUUGAUACUGAUCUUAUGCAUAUGCUGGCUUUCGUUGGCUGUUUUGUAAACUCGGCAACCUUCUCCAGCACAGUCCUUAGAUUCAGAUGAAAUGAAGACCAAAGUAGAUACAGCUGUGCUAAAGCAG